rnacentral:rRNA from 1 species
UUUAAUUGAAGAGUUUGAUCAUGGCUCAGAUUGAACGCUGGCGGCAGGCCUAACACAUGCAAGUCGAGCGGAAACGAAGAGGUGCUUGCACCUCUGGCGUCGAGCGGCGGACGGGUGAGUAAUGCUUGGGAAUAUGCCUUAUGGUGGGGGACAACAGUUGGAAACGACUGCUAAUACCGCAUGAUGUCUACGGACCAAAGUGGGGGACCUU